rnacentral:rRNA from 1 species
GAAAUGCGAUAAGUAAUGUCGAAUUGCAGAAUUCAGUGAAUCAUCGGAAUCUUCGAACGCACCUUGCGCCCUUUGGUAUUCCGAAGGGCACGCCCGUUUGAGUGUCAUUGUAAUCUCACCUCCAUGGUUUCUUAUCAUGGUUGUGGAUCUGGAUGUCGUCGGCAUUGUUCGACCCAUCUGAAAUGUAUGAGUGUACCCUGCUGUGCAGCGUAUCUGGUGUGAUAACAUCUUCACCGGAGUAAAGCCUCUUGGCACGUCUGAACUUUGGGCUCUAUGCUUCUAACCGUCCAAGUGACAAUCUUUGACAAUUUGACCUCAAAUCGGUGGACUACCCGCUGAACUUAAGCAUAUCAAUAAGCGGAGGAAAGAAACUACAAGGAUUCCCCUAGUAACCUGAGCCAAGGCACACA